GCCAUUCGAAAAAUGCUGUGGUUGAAUCCACAAUAAUUGUUGAAGAUGAAUCCACCGGAGUAGCUUCAAAAAAAUCUGCCUUACUAGACAAGGUAGAGAAGAAGUCAAAAGAAUUGAGCUCAAUUGAAGAGUCAGUUAAUGAUUUAGAGAAUAAAUGGGAAAAUAUUCAGAAUAAAGCAUUGGAGCAGCCUUCUCCUCGUACCCACAG